AUUGAACGCUGGCGGCAUGCCUUACACAUGCAAGUCGAACGGCAGCACGGGGGCAACCCUGGUGGCGAGUGGCGAACGGGUGAGUAACAUAUCGGAACAUACCCUAGAGUGGGGGAUAACGUAGCGAAAGUUACGCUAAUACCGCAUACGAUCUAAGGAUGAAAGUGGGGGGAAUCUUCGGACUCAUGCUCAUGGAGUGGCCGAUAUCUGAUUAGCUAGUUGGUGAGGUAAAGGCUCACCAAGGCGACGAUCAGUAGCUGGUUUGAGAGAACGACCAGCCACACUGGAACUGAGACACGGUCCAGGACUCCUACGGAGGCAGGCAAGUGGGGAAUUUUGGGACAAUGGGGCAACCCUCGAUCCAGCAAUGCCGCG
rnacentral:rRNA from 1 species